GAUGAACGCUGGCGGCGUGCCUAAUACAUGCAAGUCGAGCGGAAAGACGAGGAGCUUGCUCCUCUGACGUUAGCGGCGGACGGGUGAGUAACACGUGGAUAACCUACCUAUAAGACUGGGAUAACUUCGGGAAAACGGAGCUAAUAACGGCUAAUAUAUUGAACCGCAUGGUUCAAUAGUGUAAGACGGUUUUGCUGUCACUUAUAGAUGGUCCCGCGCCGCAUUAGCUAGUUGGUAAGGUAACGGCUUACCAAGGCAACGAUGCGUAGCAGACCUGAGAGGAUGAUCGGCCACACUGGAACUGAGACACGGUCCAGACUCCUACGGGAGGCAGCAGUAGGGAAUCUUCCGCAAUGGGCGAAAGCCUGACGGAGCAACGCCGCGUGAGUGAAGAAGGUCUUCGGAUCGUAAAACUCUGUUAUUAGGGAAGAACAAAUUUGUAAGUAACUAUGCACGUCAUGACGGUACCUAAUCAGAAAGCCACGGCUAACUACGUG
rnacentral:rRNA from 1 species